GGUCCCUGUUAAUUAAACAGGCCUGCGAGAUAGAGUUUUUAAAAGGGGUAGGGCUGAUUGUUGUAAACUAUUUUGCGCUGAAAACGAAUCUGACCUUGAAAAUGCUCCAUCAUAUCAAGAUUUUUGUAAAUUUUAGGUUAAAUGACCACAAUAUGGAAAUUUAUGCAUUUUUUACGGGUAUGGAUUCUUUUUUUUUAAUUUUCCACAAAAACAUCGCAUCAUUCUACAAGUAAAAAAAUAUUAAGAACAGUCAAAAACUUGCAUAACUAAAAGUCUCAUACUGAAAAUUGUAUAUUUAUUUAUUAUUGACUGAUUUGGCAAAAUGAAUUUUAAAGCUACAAAGUGACACUACGUUUGCGAUGUUUUUGUGGACACUUUAACCUAAAAUUACCAAAAAUCUUUAUAUGAUGGAGCAUUUUCAAGGUCAGAUUCGUUUUCAGUGCAAAAAUCUCCGAGAAUCACCUGGAAACUGGAAAAAAGUGAAAUUUCACAGGCCUAUGUUAUAUGUGCAAUCUGUACAUAUUUGAUAAUAGUGUAUAUUUGUAUAUAUAUUUUUAAGCAGUUAUUUAUGUUUGUUUAUAUUUGUAUUUUCGUUUUUAAGUAAAUGCAUUUGGCCGUCGAAAACUAAAGUUCGUUUCGUUACUAAGGUGUCCUUGAAAAACCAUAAAAACCGAACAAAGCGACUUAUAAAAUCAAACAGAAAACUGCAUGUAAUAUUUCGUCCUUCCCCCUUCUAGUCAUACUGUUCAAAACCGAUCCUGUAGCCCAAUAAAAAAUGCCGUUACAAAAUAGUACUCCCGUUCCGGUGUAGUGAUUUUUGUUAAAUAACUAUAGAACAAAUAGGUACACUUUAAGUGAAAAUUGAAUUGAAUUGCAGUGAUUUGUACUGCAGCUAAAACUUUGGUUGAGAAUGGGCAAAUGGAACUUUGAAGACGUAACAUUAGAUCAUUUUCGAAACUAGCCCACUUCGAAAAAGGUUAAAAUUAGACUUAAGAAAUGGAAACUAUAAAAUCCAGAAAAAAGAUUAUUACAAAAAAAUAAAGAGAUAAAAUUUCUUGUUCAGUGUUGAAAAAUAAGACGUAGAGAGGAUUUUAUAAACCAGCACGUGGACUUCUUAGCAGUAAAAGGUACACAAAUUACGAAACUUGAAAUAUUCGGCCCUAACUUUCAAUGAAUUGGCAGCUGGGGUGAACAUUAAAAUGUCAAAAAGGAGUCACACUCCCAGUAAUUUGUAUAGCACACCCUUUUGAUGCUCUGUAUGUACAGUUUCCCUCUUAUUUAUUUGAUAUUCAUAAUUUUUUUUUAUAAAAAUGUAGCAUAUCACGUGUAAAUCAGAUUUUAAAAUUUUAUAAAAAUUUAAAAACAUGUCAACAAAGGGGUGUUCUAUCUUAAUGACAUUAAACAAAAAAUGAAUAUUAAACAAACAAAAGGAAAACUGUAAAAAGUGUGGAUCAAUAUAGUGUGCUAUUCUAAUGGCUGGGUGUGUAAGAAAAAAACUCUCAAUUUAUUUUCCAUACCACGAAAUUUGCCUUUAAUGGAGUUACAUUUUAAAGUCUGUUAAUAAUCUUUCCGAGUUCAAUAAAAUACUUUCCAUCUUAAUUUUAUAUUUUUCGUCCAAAAAAAUUUUUUUUGCAUCAUUUUGGUCAUUUGCAGACAAUUUGGUCAACUAAAAAUUAUUUACGACAUGACUUCUGCUAUAAAUUAUUUAUGAUUUCAUAGUUCUUAUAGUUCUAAAUAAGUAAAGUCUAAACUGAACCUUUUCGAAAUCGUUCCGUUUCGAAACAUUCUCAUCCAAAUUUCGAGUUUCAAAGUUUAGAUUCUUCGUUACCGGUACUUGCAAGUAAAUACUCGAUACUUUUUCUCCAAAGCAAGUACUUUUUUUACUCAAUGCCUUUUCGAGUUUGGUACUUGCUAUAUUUGCUACGUGGCAACGCUUAACUUAUCGUUCAUCAUAAACACCUUCCAUCAUGUCAAAGUAUGUCAUGUAAAUUUAAAUGUUGCCGUUAUUUUUUCGUGUUUACUUUCCUUGUUGCUUCGUCUUUUAUUGAUUUGGAAUAUUUGAGAUUUUGCAAUUUAUAAUUAGAAUUUUUUACUCAAUACUUAAAUAUACGCGAUUCCUUUUAUCGAUAUUUAUUAAGUACUCGAUACUUUGUCCCGAUACCAGAAACAAGUAAAAGUAUCGAUACCAAGGGGGUAUCGAAUGGUCAAUAUAUACGUACUUAUGGAACGCAAAUCACCGCAAUAUAAUGAGGUUAUUAAUAUCAUGUUUUAUAGCGGCAUUUUUUUUUUAUUGGGUCGACCAGAUCGGUUUGAAAACAGAUUGACUUUGUUCGUUUGUGUUUUUGACGGGCAGCUUAGCUGAUGUGCUAUAGUUACGAAAUACACUUUACAUUGUUUCGUAUUUUGUGCAUUGUAAAUUUGCGAUUUAUUUCUUGAGCGCAUGUGGCGAUCUCGUUUUAAGUAAUUGCAGAUGUACUUAUGUAUGUACAUAUUUUUCUAAUAUAUACAUAUGUAUGUACACAUGCAUGUAAAAACUACAAAGGAGUGAAAAUGGUCUGCGCUGACACCGUCACUUAUGACGGUUUUUUUUUUACUGAUAAUGUUGCACCUUAAAAAUUGUUACCGACAUAUAGUCGACAAUGCCACAGAAGUCAUGCAGGUGUACUCCAUCACUCCUUCAAAAUCUAUCAAAGGUCUAGAACAGACAAUGUAUUGCAGCGGUCACUUAUAAAAAAAAAGAAACAUUGCAAGACACCAAUGGCCAGUCUAUUAUAUUCACCGAAUUGAGCAAGUGGACUGGCACUUUAG